rnacentral:tRNA from 1 species
GGUAACGUGCCGGAUAAAACGGGAUGCGUUGAUGACGCAUAACAUGAGAUAAUUUUACUCUCCGUUACCU